rnacentral:misc_RNA from 1 species
CCGAGUUUUACAACUCCCAAACCCCUGUGAACAUACCAAUCGUUGCCUCGGCGGGAUAGCCCCGGGCGUUGGCGAAAGCCUCUAAACCGGUAUCAGGCGCCCGCCCGGAGGACCCAACUAAACUCUUGAUUCUAAUAUGUAAUCUUCUGAGUAAACAUAAGUUAAAUAAAUUA